rnacentral:lncRNA from 1 species
UUUCUGCUGGUCUAGACAUCUGGGUUCCAAAAGAAGAAUGCAUCUCCCAGGAGACAUGACAAUGAUUCCAUUCAACAGGAAGUUGAGACUGCCACCUGAACACUUUGGGCUCCUCAUGCCUCUGAAUCAACGGGCAAAGAAGAGAGUUAUAGAUCCUAACCACCCAGGAGAAAUUCGGUGGCCACUACACAAACAGAUCUUGAAAUUACAAGAUAUCCAACUUGAAGCAUGCAUUGGGAGAAGAAUAAAUAUCAUCCAAAGACAAAAAAACAACAACACGACGUUGUGUUCUACUAAAAGGAAAAAAGCCUAUUUUCAGAUGUACUUAGAAGAGAUACACCAUGUUAG